AGAGGCCUCGAGCGUUAAUCGGAGUCACUGGGCUUAAAGGGUGCGUAGGCGGGCCCGCAAGUGCUUUGUGAAAUCCCAUGGCUCAACCAUGGAAUUGCUUGGCAGACUGCGGGUCUUGAGGUCGGUAGAGGUCGCUGGAACUCUAGGUGGAGCGGUGAAAUGCGUAGAUAUCUAGAGGAACGCCGAUGGUGAAGACAGGCGACUGGGCCGAUUCUGACGCUGAGGCACGAAAGCGUGGGGAGCAAACGGGAUUAGAUACCCCGGUAGUCCACGCCCUAAACGAUGUACACUAGAUCACGGAGGCUCUCACGCCCCCGGGGUCGAAGAAAAAUUGACAAGUGUACCGCCUGGGGAGUACGGUCGCAAGAUUA
rnacentral:rRNA from 1 species